AAGCGAAGAACCUUACCUGGGUUUGACAUAUACCGGAAAGCUGCAGAGAUGUAGCCCCCCUUGUGGUCGGUAUACAGGUGGUGCAUGGCUGUCGUCAGCUCGUGUCGUGAGAUGUUGGGUUAAGUCCCGCAACGAGCGCAACCCUCGUCCUAUGUUGCCAGCACGUAAUGGUGGGGACUCAUAGGAGACUGCCGGGGUCAACUCGGAGGAAGGUGGGGAUGACGUCAAGUCUUCAUGCCCCUUAUGUCCAGGGCUUCACGCAUGCUACAAUGGCCGGUACAAAGGGCUGCGAUACCGCAAGGUGGAGCGAAUCCCAAAAAGCCGGUCUCAGUUCGGAUUGGGGUCUGCAACUCGACCCCAUGAAGUCGGAGUCGCUAGUAAUCGCAGAUCAGCAACGCUGCGGUGAAUACGUUCCCGGGUCUUGUACACACCGG
rnacentral:rRNA from 1 species